rnacentral:lncRNA from 1 species
CCUGGCCUCCAUCGGAGUGAGUAAUGACCAUGAACGGAUCAACGCCGUAGCUCGGAAGAUAACCUGCAAAAAAUGAAUUCGUGAUGUUCUGUUAAAAACCAAAUCAUUUCUGCAAAGCCAGAUGGUCCACAUGAAAGCACAGACUCCAACCCGAAUAUGUCUUGCUAAUGUAGAGUCAAUCCCAUUUAGCCAAUUCCCAAAUAAAGCAUUAACAGUAUUCGGUGGAGUAAUAUUAAAAGCAAUGUGGACCGUCUGCCAAAGAACCUUGGCCAGCGGGCAAUCAAAAAAGAGAUGUUUAAUUGUCUCAUCUCGAUCACAGAAACUACACCUAGUAGGUCCUGUCCAAUUACGCUUUAUUAAGUUGUCCUUUGUUAGAAUAACUUGUUUAUGAACAAACCACAUAAACACUUUUAUUUUCAAAGGAACUUUGACAUCCCAGACAUUCUUGGAAGUUGGAAUGGAGCUUGAAUUAAUAACAUCAAUGUACAUUGACCUCACUGUAAAUACUCCAGACGUAGUCAACUUCUAGCGUAAUUUAUCAGGUUGGUCAGAAAGUUGAACCUCCAUUAGUCUCCUAACUAACUGGAGCCAAACCUCCCAAUGAUUGCCCGCUAACGACCGUCUAAACUGAAUAUUAAGGGGGAUAGAUUGAAAUACCGUUGCCACGAACACCUCACGUCGUUGAGCAAUACGAUAUAAAGACGGAUAUUGAAUGGCCAAGGGUGAGUCGCCCAGCGAAGAGUCCUCCCAGAAACGUGUAGUGGCACCAUUGCCAAUGACAACUUUUGUCCUAUUGAACAUUAAUUGUUUGACUUUCAUGAGCCCUUUCCAGAAAGGCGAGUCAGUCGGCCUAACUGUUACCUGGGACAACGUCCUAGUCUGGAGGUACUUGCUGCGAAUGAUUUGCGCCCACAUAGCUUCAGAACCACAAGCGAGCUUCCACAACCACUUACUAAGAAGGCAUCUGUUCUUAACUUCAAGAUUCUCAAUGCCAAGCCCGCCUUGGUCUUUGGGUCGACAGAUAAUAUCCCACUUAGCAAGCCGGUAUUUUCUUUUAAGAUCAUCACCCUGCCAGAAGAAACGUGAUCGAUAGAAGUCCAGUCUUUUCCUCACUCCCACUGGAACCUCAAAGAACGAUAAGAGGAACAUAGGCAUACUCGUGAGCACCGAGUUUAUCAAGAUUAACCGGCCUCCAUAUGACAUGAGCUUACCCUUCCAGCAGCUCAGUUUCUUCUCAAAUCGAUCCUCGAUACACUUCCACUCUCUGUUUGUUAGCCUACGAUGAUGUAUCGGAAUGCCGAGGUAGGAGAAGGGCAAAGUUCCCAACUCGCAACCAAACAAUUGCCUGUAGGACUCCUGUUCGUCUUUGGCUCUACCAAAGCAGAACAACUCACUCUUAUGAAAGUUAAUCUUUAACCCAGAUAAUUGUUCAAAGAGGCAUAACAACAACUUCAUAUUUCUCGCCUUGGCCAAAUCAUGCUCCAUGAAGAUGAUUGUAUCAUCAGCAUAUUGAAGGAUGGAUACACCUCCAUCAACCAGAUGAGGUACUAAGCCACCCACUUGACCACUGUCCUUAGCCCUUCCGAUCAAAAUUGCUAACAUAUCCACCACGAUGUUAAACAAGAUGGGGGACAUUGGAUCUCCUUGCCUAAGGCCCUUAUGAGUCUGGAAAUAAUGACAUAUAUUGUCAUUAACUUUAAUACCCACACUCCCUUUUUGCGUAAAAGAUUCGACCUGAUGGCGCCAAGCCUCAUCAAAGCCUUUCAUACGCAAUGCCUGUUGAAGGAAUGGCCACUUGACCUUAUCAUACGCCUUCUCGAAAUCCACCUUAAAAAUUACCCCAUCUAAUUUUUUAGAGUGAAUUUCAUGGGGCGUUUCAUGAAGGACAACCACCCCUUCGAGGAUGUUUCUGUCCGGCAUGAAAGCAGUUUGGGAUUGUUGCACCACAGAAAGCGCAAUCUGGGAGAGCCUGUUAGUCUCGACCUUGGUAAAGAUUUUGAAACUAACAUUGAGUAGGCAAAUUGGCCUGAACUGCUCAAUUCGCACGGCCUCCGUUUUCUUAGGGAGCAAUGUGAUAGUUCCAAAAUUCAAGUGAAAUAAUUGAAGCUGUCCAGAGAAAAGAUCGUGAAACAUAGGUAACAGAUCCCCCUUAAUAAUGUGCCAGCACUUUUUAUAAAACUCCGCCGGAAACCCGUCCGGACCGAGAGCCUUAUUGUUUUCCAUUUGUGCAAUAGCAUCAAACACUUCCUUCUCCGUAAAUGGGGCUAGCAAGAUAUCAUUUUCGGCAGCCGACAGUUGAGGAACAUCCUCAGUCCGAGACUCAUCCAAGGUUACACAAUUAACCUCUGGUGGUCCAAACAACUGCCUAUAAUACUCGGUAAUGUAAGUUUUUAGAUUAUCCUGCCCAACAAUAGUACCCUCAUCUUGCUCAAGUUGGAAGAUUCAUUUCUUACGGUGCUUGCCAUUAGCAAUGAGGUGAAAGAAUUGAGUAUUAGCGUCCCCUUGAACCACUUUGCGGACCUUAGCGUGCAACGCCCACUUCAACUCUUCCUCACGGAGAAGUUCUUUCAACCUCUUCUCAGCCUCAUGUUUAACCUGGACCUCGACAGGCAGCAAAAUCAUAGAUUCUGCUUUAAUAUCUAGGGCCUGUAUAAGAAAAAGGAGCCUAUCCUUUUCAAUCUUAUAAACCCCACUUAGGUGCUUUGCCCACCCCCGUAAGAAAUUUCUUAAAUGCCUUAUCUUAUUCUGCCAACGCUCGACCGCCGUCGUACCUCCGACCCCCUUAACCCAUUCCCUGGCAACGAGAUCUAAGAACCCUUCACGUUCGAACCAGGCCAUCUCGAAUGAGAAGGUGUUCUUGUUUCCCACAUAGUUGGACUCCCCGGAGUCCACAAACAGUGGUGUGUGAUCGGAUAUUCCCCGUGUUAAAGCUUGUACCGUCACAAGAGGGAACUUCUGUUCCCACUCCACGCUGGCGAGAACUCGAUCAAGCUUUUCAUAUGUCGGGUUUGGCAACGCAUUAGCCUAAGUAAACUUUCUACCAGAAAGCUCUAUCUCCCUCGGGUCCAAGCUCUCAAUAAUGGUAUUGAACAUAAACGACCAUCUCCCGUCAAAGUUAUCAUUAUUCUUCUCCUCUCUCCUCCGAAUGAUAUUGAAAUCACCCCCGACCAACAUUGGAAGCUGUUCGGACCCACAAAUUCGAACAAGAUCCGCCAGAAACUCUGGUUUAAGUUCAGGCUGUGCGGCUCCAUACACCGCCACCAAAGCCCAGUCGAACCCAUCAACUUUUGACCUAACCCGAAACUUAACCGCAAAGUCUCCCAUCACAACACUCCGGACCUCAAGGGAAUCGCAUCUCACUCCCAACAAGAUACCUCCCGAUCGUCCACGUGGAGGUAGGCAAUGCCAAUUGAAAUCAACACCACCCACAAGAGAGGAAAGAAACUGAGGAGCAAAAUUAUCUCUUCCAGUUUCAGAGAGAGCAAUGAAAUCUAAUCGGUGCUCCAGAGACGCCUCCGGAAGAAACCUUCUCUUAGUCAAGUCCUUGAGACCUCUGCUAUUCCAAAAGAUUCCUUUCAUAAUUCAUCAUGAAAUUUUUUUGCCGUACGAAUCCUAGCACUUCUACGUACCGCGGAUGCUGGAUACACCUUCCGCUUCCACUUACGUUUAGGUUUGUCAUUGUCCACCAUCCGGUCCUCAUAACCGGGCAGUGGUGGUUGGAGGACCUCAACCUCUAUGUUGGUCUCCUCCUCGUCUGACUCAUUACAGGAUGGUGCAAGGUCCGCACACAAAGUGUCUAGUACUCUCACCCCCAAUGCAUCAAUCUCAGCGUCAUUCAUCGGUCUCACUGCCGCUAGGUUGCGAAUGGUUUCUAAAGCGCGUUCCGCUUCCAGAUCCAAAAGAUCAUUAACCGAGUUGGAUAUUUCAGAAUUAUUAUUCCCCAGCGAAACCCCUACUUGAUUUGCAUUAUGAAUAAUCUCAUCCGUAGAAAAAUGCAUAAUGGAAUUGGAUAAGUUGACUGACAUACCGGUAGUGACCUCAAUGUCACGAAGCUUGGCCGCCCUCGUAGCACACCUCUGCUGCAUGUCAUCAACCUCCGGAUGGUCCUGGAGAUGGGAACUCAUCCGUCGCCCCUCAGAGACCGGGUCAGGGAUUCCGCCGAAAGCAAUAACCUCCUCCCGAGAAGCACCAGUCGCAGGAGGAAGUGACGGACGGCUCCCACAUCCGGCAGUCAGGGGGUCGGGGCAGUAGGUGCCGGUACCACCUGUCCGAACACCCCCUCCGCCCCGACCCUCAAGGCUGAGGGUGUCAUCAUCCCGACAGCCGAGGAUGAGGGAUGGACCGGGGCCACCUUCCCCGGACACCCUCCAAUCACGACAGUAGAAGCCGCCUACGUCGGAGCCGAAAGGGAAGGGUGUGGGGCCUCCUGCCCCAUACGGCCUCCCUGAAAGCCGGCUAGAGCCGGCGCAGUAGGCAUCGCCAGGGCCACCUGCCCCAGACAAACACCCAUCCGCCCAGCAGAAGAAGCCGCAGCCGGCCGCCCUCCCGAAGAGGACUCCUCCCUCUCAGGAGCCCUGAUCAUAGCCAGCAGAGAGUGUGGGGUCGAGGCCUCCUGCCUGAGACCCCCCGCCAAGCUCGUAGUCACCACCUGCAGCUCAGACGUGACAAGAGUAUCCGAGGGAGGCGAGAACGCUAUCUCCGAACCUCCCUCCACUCCACGAACCUCCACGAUCGGGCCCUCAAAGUCCAACGCAGGUAAGGAGUGCUCGAACACCUCAGAAGAUUCCACCCGCUCACUAUAUAAUCUCGGAGGUGCAGAAGCAGGCUCAAAGGUUCCAAACCUCAGAGUGGUCGACGGCACCGAAGAUGGAGGCGCCGUCUCCCCUCCGGUGGUCUUGACCACAGACCCCGGUCUUUCGUCCUCUCGACCGGGAUCAGCUACCGGAGGCUCCUUGCGCCCCAUGUCAUCAUCACCCUCGUGCAUAUCAACAUCCACGGUAGCAGGUGCCUCGGCAAACAGGCUGUCAUCCUCAAACUCAAUCUUAAGGUUAUACACCUGGCCGCGAUAAGCCCACUUCACCACGUCCGGAACAAACUCAAUGUCCAAAAUACUGACGAGGAUGUGAGCCACCCCCUGAGCUCUGGUGAAAGCCAUGUCCACUCGUUUGGGCUUUCCCACCAAAACAGCCAUACUAGCAACAACCCUGGCAUCCUGCAUGGGCCUGUGUGGAGCCCCCGAAAAACGCAACCAGGCCUGGGUAAGUGGCUUACCCCGAGGCUCACUCAAUUUCCACUCAUGGAACUCAAGAAUGCCUUCAGUACCUGGCACCUUACACAUCCCAAAACUCAAUAACCUCUGUAGAUCCUCCACCGUUGGAAACUCCACCCUGAACGAGUUUGGCUCAAGCUUGACUAACUCCCAUAGAAAGUCACCCGGUGCCAGCUCCCGGAGCCGCUGCACAAUCUGGAUCUCAGAGACUUCACCUUUAGUCACUUUAACAAUCCCAGACGUCAUACUGCGCACCUCGUCAGAUACUUCCCUCUCAAUCGGAGAAUCGAAAAACGUGAGCUCAGAACAGAACACACCAUACAUCAUAAGAUUGGGUAGCUGCUCUCUCAUUAGCGGACAAGCCCCUGACUCAUGAUCCUGCUUACCACACGUAUCGCAUAAGACUGCCACACACUCAGCAAUGAAGUGGCCUUUAUUGCCACAGCGAUAGCAUAACAUUCUUUCUUUCUUGCGCACAUACUUAGCCGCCCUGUCCAGCUCAGCCUUGUCAGAGCCCUCCACCGACAUCACCUCAACCUCACCAUUAUUCGUAGGAACCACCUCUGCCAAAGCCGUAACCACCUCCAUAGCCUGACAAGACAACGCAGUCUCGUCAGUAUCCACACCAACCGGCGUCUGAUCAACGACAACAGGAUGCUGCCUUGGGCGGUAGCGACCACCGCGUCCACCCCGUCCACCACGGUUACCAAGAAAACCACCACGGUUCCUAUUAGCUGGUCCUGACGCCCCUUCGACAAAACCUCCCGUAGGCCCCAGGAAAGGUCUCUCGGUCGAGCCAUCACUCUGCCAAGCAUACCCCCGCCCACCACCUGUGGACGAGGAUCCCCGGUGCUGUCCGUCACCAUACGCGUUAAGUCCAUCGUCACCCCAUUGACCAUGAGGCACCGACGAGUCACCCCCCCUCACCGGAGCCAUCUGUAACUGCGCCUGCUCCAACACCGGUGCCGACGGAUUCUGCGACUGCCGAGCCACAAAAUGCGGCGGUCGGGCCCCGGUCUGCAUCGCCGUGGGACCCAGCUGUCCACCCAAGGCCGGAGCAGGCGGCCGAGGAGUCGGGGUGCCACGACCCGCGGCUGCCGCGGGGAGAGGCACCGGUGGCCUAGGGCCGCCCCGACCGGCGGCAGGGGGCGGGGGUCUACCCGCCGGCAGAGUCCCGCGGCCCACCACACCGGACCUGGGCAGGCCGCCAUGCUGCGUUGGUCGGGCGCCAAUCGCCCCCUGAGCCACCUGGUUUGAAGCCGGAGGAGCGUCCGCGCGCCCAGCCCCUAGCGGCGGCCCAGUGCAACCCCGACCAGCGGCCAGCGUGGCCGCAUCUCCGCCCCGGCCGCCUCCCGUAUAGACCCCUAUAGCGUGCUCUUGCUAUGGCUUAGUUUUGCUAGACCCCUAUAGUGUGCUCUUGCUAUGGCUUAGUUUUACCAGACCCCUAUAGCGUGCCUGGAAACUUUAUAGAGUGAAGCCGACUUGUUGUGUUUGUUGCUAUCUCUGUGUCCAGAAGCACGAGACUUGUUAUUAUACUACUCCGUAGUUCACUUCACCCUUUUUGAACUUUAACCACGAAUACGUGCUAAAAAAGAAAUGUUCACUUCACCCCCGGAGCCCGACUAGCUGCUCCGUUGCACCCCGUGUGUGCGUGUUUUUUUUUCUAUUUUUAGGGCUUGUUGAGCUGUGCCUCAGCAUUAACCCUCUUGGCUACCGUUUGUACUAGACCUGUGUGUUUGUGUGCGUGUGUGAACAUGUGUUGAAUGUUGGCUUGGGCAGUUGCUUUAUAAUAUAAAGCGGGGCGAAAGCCUUUUUUGGUAAAAAAGAAAUGUAUGGACUAGGCAUGUUUUCUUUGGAUUUUUUUCUUAGGCAUAGUACAAGUGAAAAAUAGUGGACUGUAAUAAAUGGAACCAAAGGAGGUCCGAUCCUUAAUUUCAGCCGAUUUGGCGCAGUCCGCACAUUUUGCAACUGCACGUACCAACCUCAACCUGCCACUGAUGUGUGCGUGUGUGUGCGUGUGAGCCAGCCAGUCUCUGACUGAAACUGAAAGUAACCACCACCACCGCCACCACGCACGCAGCUGGAGCUGUUUCAUUUGAAGAAACGGAGGAGGCUGGUUGAUAUGCACGCUAGCACUGCUGGCCGGUGAGUGAAGCUAGCACUGGAACAGCCAGCCAGAGCCAGAUCCUUCCGGGGACUAGACUGGUAACCUGCUCCCCGCGCCAAGCCGGAGCGGAAUGAUGACGCUCACGCACGCAUGCCCACCCUGACCCUGUCCUACAGAGCGAGUUGGUACAUCAUCGCGCGUGCAUCCCCGGCCUUUGACUUCAUCGCAUCAUCAGUCGCAAUCCAUCGGUUGGCUGACUUGGGUUGGGAGGGAGAUCUGCUACCAGCGCCACAACUGUCUUUGUAGCCAAAACGUAGCCAAAUCCAAAUCUGCUAUAGUUAUAUGCGAACCCUACCCCGGUAUACAUAUACAAUCCCCACCAGCAACACACAGGGGCCUGCAUUAAUCAGUAUAAUGAUGAUUAACAAUGCUUACUCUUGCGUAUAACAAAAGUAGUAUGGUUCAUUUGGAAGCAAAGCCUCUACUUUGAUCACCGCCUUUUUCUACUUACUUUGUCAUCUUCAUUUCACACGUGAAGAGAAGAGUAUGUACUCCCUCCGUCCGGAAAUACUUGUCGCGGAAAUGCAUAAAAAUGAAUGUAUCUAAAACUAAAAUACGUCUAAGUACAUCCAUUCUUUUGACGAGUAUUUCCGGAUGGAGGGAGUAUAUGUAAGGGCGAACCAAGCUGUGGUUGGAUGGUUAGAGGGACAAUGGUAUCCUAGCCUACCGGAAUUAAUUCAAGUCCUGAUGCUCGCAUUAUUUUUGAAUUUAUUUCAGGAUUUUCGGCGAUGGUUUUCAGUAGGAGGAGGCGUUUCUGUAGACGACGAGGCGCCUCAAAAUGAUAUGUCGGCUCGGUCUCUCGAAGGUGCUCAUAGGGAUAGGCUGUGCAUGUGGGCGUUCAUAUGGGUGAGUGUAUGCACGUAUGUAUGAGCAUUUGCGUCUGUACUAUAUUAAAAUAGAAGUAUACGUAGAGUGCCAUCCUAGUGUAAUGUAUUGCACGUCGUAAAAUAUGUGUUUUUUAAGUACGAUAAAACUAGACUCCCUAUUUGUUGAAACUUCAUAAAUAUGUGCGAACCAACCUGUGCUUGGAUGGUUAGAGGGACUGUGGUAUUCCCAGCCCACCAGGGUUCGAAUCCUGGUGCUCGCUUUUAUUUCUGAAUUUAUUUCAGGAUUUCCGGCGAUGCGCAUUCAGUGGGAGGAGACGUUCCCGUCGACAACGAGGCGCCUACGGUGACUUCGUAAAUCUCAAGAUGAUAUGCCGGCUCAGUCUUUCAUAGGUGCUCAUAGGGGUAAGGUGUGCGUGUGUGUGUUCAUAGGGUGAGUAUAUGCGCGUGUAUAUGAGCGCUUGUGUUUGUACUGAUGUUUAAAAAAAAACUUCAUAAAUAUGCACCUAUUGAAAUUCGAUCAUCUUCAAGGGUCUAAUGUGUCAAACUAAAUGCAGAAUAUGGUUCGACAAUAGUCGAAUUGCUAACAUGCAUUGCAAACGGCCUGCCAUCAUGUGACAAAUAGAUGGUCAAACUGACAUUCCUUUUAUAGGAGUACUAACAUACUAACAUAUAGAGAACAUGUGUGUCCUUGGAAUUAUAUACUAGUAUGGAAAUUGUGUUUGGCUCCCGGGCCCCAUGGAGACUGGGUUUUGAGAAAUACAAAAAAUCUAUUUUUUAGGUUUAAAAAAAUUCUGGAACAAAAUGUACACAUACCUAGAGAUGUAUACUACUUGUCAUUAAAGUUUCAUGGUGAAAUUCGUUUUUGUGCGAGCUACACAAAAAUAACAAAAUCAUAUAUUUCUAGCACAUGUGCUAUUCACUACGUAUAAGACAACAACAAAUUUUUUGUGCAUACAUCUCACAUCAAAACGCAUUUCAUACUUGUAUACAUCUCUAUGUUGACUUUUGAAUUUUUGAAAAUUUGGGCUUCCUCGAAGCCCGAGAACCAAAAAUCGUCUCUCUGCUGCUUGUCACUAGUCACUUUUAGUGUGCAUGUGUGUCUGCCUGCCGUGAAGCAAGAAAGUUAAAAGGCAAUAUGGAUAUACCCAGGGUGUUCGAAAGUAUAAUCAUGAACCCCGGAUACACGAAUUGUGAUGAUUCUACGAUAAGAGCGAAAACAAGCGUGGGUUGAAUGAUGAUUAUACGUAUAGGCGAGACCUUUCAUGAACUAGCUAGGAACCCGCCGUUCGCCACUCCGGCCCACGGCGGCCACUCUCCUGUCGCCGGCCACUCCGGCCUGCGGCGGCCACCUUCCCGUCGUUGGCCACUCCGGCCUGCGGCGGCCACCGUCCUGCCACCACCAUCGCCGACGUCCGACGCCUCCGACGUUUCUCCGUCGCCUUCGCCGUUGAGCUGUCCUUGGUGGGCUCGUUGCUCGCCGCGCCGGAGCGCAGGGGUUAGGUUGGCAGGUUGCCAGCUCUGCGCCCCUGCGUCAUCUGGGGGUGGCCUCUCUCAGCUAAGUGCUCGCUCCCCCCCCCCUUUUUUUUUAUGCAUGCUGCUGCACUUCUUCCCUUGAUCAUGCUAGGGUUUGGUCGUCCUGGUUGUGUUGGUCCUGCUUGUGCCGGGCUUGCGAGGUGCUAUGGAGCCCGCUUCGAAGAUGCCAUGUGGGCCAGAUAUGGCUGCGGCUCUGUCUGCGCCCUGUCGAAAUCGUUCUCCCCGGUGCGCCUUGCGGCGUUCGUCGUCAGCGACGGCGUGCUUCUCUCGCCGGAGUUCUUCGCUCAGAUUCUGCAUGGCUGGUUCGGUGGCUCGGCUGCUGGGUUCCGGGGCGUUGCGCUGGGCCCAACCUCUUUUGAAUUUGAAGUAGCCUGUCGCGAGGUUGCCGCUGAGAUUGUGCUUCAUGGGCUUUGGCAUGCUGGGCCUCUCUGCGUGGAGUUUGGUUUCCCAAGUAGGCUCGGGGCCAGGAAUCCGGGUCUCUGGUCAAAGCCUGCCGCUCUGGCCCCUGAGGACCCAGUCUGCGCACGCCCUGCUGCAUGCACGCCCGUUGAGAUCGGCUGCAUGACCUCUCCUCGUCCCGCGUUUUCGGGCGUGCCGGUUUCCCCGCGAUCUGUUCCUGCCCUUGCGGAUUACGCUCCUUCUCAUAUCUCUCCUGCCCUAUCCGGGCCUGGCUCGGGACCGAUCUCGUGCGGGAUUUAUGGCGCUGACAGUGCAAGGGGCGGACAGCAAUGCAACUCUUUGCAUGGUGUCGUGGCAUCAUCGCUGAGAAACCAUCAUGCGCAUGUGCAGGCGGAGCAAAACGGAGUGCCUGGCCAGCUUGGCCUUUCUGCUCCCAGCGCCGCCUCGGAAUCGCUUCGCGAUGUCACCGCCCCCUUGGCCCUAUCGUGCUGCCCAUACAAGGAGGCGCUCCUGUCCAGUCCGUGCGCUGCCUCCUCCUCUCCCUCCCGCUCCCCUGCCACCCACGCUUCGAGGCAUCAUCAUUAUCCUCCUAUCCCUCUAGACCUGCACCGGCGCUGCUUUAGAUGCCUCUCCUAUCGGCAUCGGAGAGUUGACUGCCGUGACCCGCUGGUGUGUUGGCGCUGCAGGCGCACCGGCCACACCCGCCACUCCUGCUCUGUGCGCUCCCCUCACCUCGUCUAUAAGACCAAGCUUUCAUCUUCCUCCUCCACCCACCAAGUUUCUUCACCUCCCCCGCCUCCGCCUUCUGCUUCCUCCUCUUCUCCCAGCCUGUGCACUGCCAUCGUCCCUUUUGCUCCCCCUCCGCCGCCUGUCGUUCCAUCCUCAGCCAUGGAGCCUGUUGUCCGUGGUCGCCCCACCUACGUGGACGUGCACUACCCCUUUGUUCACGACCGCAACUCCCUCGUCUGCAUCGUAAAGAUCGCGCCCUCCAUGCCCAACUUCCUUUCCUGGCUACGCCGCCUCUUUCACCAGCAUCUCGGCAUCAGUGUUGUGCGCUUUGCUAGCUCUUCCACCGCCACUGCUUUCGUUGUUUUUCAGCAUGAGUGCGACCAGAUGAAGGCUCUCCGUGCUAGCCCUCUCGACGCGGGCUCGCACAGGGUCGAAAUCAUGCCGCACCACGCUGGCAAUAACGCCUUCUCUUUUGCCUACCACCACAUCGUCUGCCUCUCCCUGGAAAAGAUGCCCUUGGAGCUUUGGAACCGGCGAGGUGUUGCCUCCAGUGUGUCGGGUUUUGCUGGGCUGAUCAAUGUCGAGCAUGCCAGCAUUCAUGGCCAUGACUUCGCUGGUAUCUUCGUGCUCGCUAAGGUGGAAGCGCUUAGCCACAUUCCCCACCAUAUCGCCUUCCACAAGAUCAAUGGCAGCGGCGCUUACGCUGACGUCUACAUCAACGAGGUUUGGGAUGUGGCGCGCUCCCUUGGCAACCCCGCUGCUCCGCCAAGCGAUGGCCAGCCCCCAAGCGGCGGGCGUGCCCGCUCGCCCCCGCGCGGCCGUCCCGGGGCGUCGUCCGCAGGCGGGCGCGUCUACCGGAGAGCCUCGCGUGGCUUGCCUGCGGCGGCGGAGAGGGCCUUCCGUGCCUACAACCACCCGAUGACGGCGUCCUUCGGCGACUUCCUGGCGUUGCUCAAGCUCUCUGGCAAGCCCGCGCUCAAGCGUCCGUCCUCGGUGGGCACGCUUGACGCGUCCGACUUCGAUGCGGAUUCGGAGAAGGAUGGCCAUGUGAAGAGACAGCUGAUCGCAGCCCCGAUUGCUGGGCCACACGCGGUCACUUUCUUUGAUGUGGACAAAACAGCUUUCUUCUUCCGCCUGGAGCUGAGCCCAGCCAGGGUCGUGGAAGGUGCUGUCACGGUGGGGCCAGCCAGGCUCGAUGAUGGCUACUUCCCCGUGUUCGAUAUCACCACGGGCAUGCAAUCUAGGGAGAGCUGCAACUCCCUCCUUUUCAGGUUCUGGCCAAAACUUUUCAAUUCAGAUUCUUCUCCUUCGUCUCCCGAGCUCACUUGCGGCCGUUCCCUCCCGCUGCUCCCCUCUGUGGACUGUCGCUUUCCCUCCAAAGCAAAUGUGCCUGCUAGCCUAUUUGGGCAUGUGGGACCCUCGAUUUCCCUCGCCUCAUCCAAUAACGGCAACGCCAUCACGCCCCUCCCCCCACCAUCUCCACCGCCCUCUACAGCCUUCUUGCAGCUCCAAUACCAACUCUGGCUCACCUCGCCUCCCAUCUGCCUGCUCCCUCCACCACCAUACACCCUGGCUACUCCACCCACGCAUACGGAAUCCGCAGCCUCCCCUUUUGCUGGCACCCCCCUGUUCCAUGCCUACUGCUACUCCCUUCCUGCUUCCAUUGCUCGCUAUACCUGCGGGUGUCGCGCCCCGCCGGAGGAACCCAAGGCCGCUCAGGUUAAGAGCUUCCCGGCGCUGCUACCUCUGUUUCCGGCGCCGCGGGUCGAGGCUCCGGUCGAGAAUUCUGCUGAGCACCCGAUCCGUCUGGACUCGCCGGAGGAGCCGGCGGGUGAGGACGGCCAUGGAGGGAGCCAAGACCUUGUCGUGCAGCUAGGGGCGGCAGGAACGGCUAGCCUGGCUGUCCCUGCUGGCUCCCAGGGGCAUGAGGUGGAACUCCCUGCCGCUACCGCUGCGAGGGUAGCCCAGGCGCCAGUGCUUCCGCGGCGCAGCCCUAGGCUCCUCGGGCUGCUGGAUGGGCCUAGGGUUGACUGCAUCGAGCGCGCCACCAAGCGAAAAGCACGGAUGACCAUCUCCUCCUCCUCUGGAUCGUCCUCCGGCCGCUCCUCAGGCCACUCCGCCUCUUCCAAGCGCGCCAAGAAGCUGUGCAAAGUCUCCUCCUUGAUCCAGCUCCCUCUCAAAGGCACGCCUAGACCGCUAGGGAGGAACAAGCUCAAGGCGUUCGCGGAAUGCUGCGACCUCGAUGCGGAAGGCAUAAGUAGGGAGGCCGAGGCCCUCUCUUCUGCCUCGACGGCUGAUUCUCCUGUGCGCUCGCUCGAUCUCAAUGAGUAGGACCUGCACAACCUCGUCUGCAUUAGGUGGCCUUCAGCCACGUUAUCAGGAGCUGUUGCAUUGUGUUAGUUGCUUCCGGCAUGUCGGGAGUCACUGUGUCUUUCUUUUUUUGCUGUUCUCUUCGAGUGCUUCUGGCCCUUAUGGCCGGGUGUGUGGUCGUGUCGUCUGGUGUGGUGUUAGUUUGUGUUUCGUUUCGGUCUGUAAGCUCCUAUCGUUACUUGAUGCAUGGCAUGUUUCUUUCUGCUAUCUCUUGCACUCCGUGACCUUCGGGUCCUCUUGGCGGCCGCUCUGCUCUUAUGAUUAUCACUAACUGGAAUGUUCGUGGCUUGGGUGAUCGUAGCAAGCACUGCCUUGUCAAGGACACAAUUGCCUCCUGCAAGCCAAAUAUUGUUUGUUUGCAAGAAACCAAGCUCAGCGCUGUUGAUACUUUUCUGCUCAAGAGGUUAUUUCCAGCAUCGUUUUGCAACUUCCGCUCACAGUCAGCACAGGGCUCUUGUGGUGGGAUUCUUGUUGCCUGGGAUUCAACGGUCAAUGGAAAUGUUAUGGCGCAGGAUGAUUUCUCUAUGACAAUAGCUUUCUCGUCAACAAAUGAUGACAGCAGUUUCUGUCUGACAGCGGUCUAUGCUCCCUGCGAGGCAAAUCAGCGGCCGAGUUUCUUCAGCUCACUUGACUACGUAUCCACUUUGAUUGCUGGUGCUUGGAUGCUAGUUGGGGAUUUCAACAUGUACCGAUAUGCUUUCGAGAAGAAUAAUGACCGUGUCAGCUGGUCCUUAAUGGAAGUUUUCAAUGACUGGAUUAAUAGUCAUGGGCUGAUGGAUGUCAACAUUGUUAACAGGCUGUUCACUUGGUCAAAUAAGCGCAGGGAUCCAACGCUAGUCAAGCUUGAUCGAGUUCUCAUCAAUACGGAUUGGAGUCUGGCCUUCCUGGACACUACAGCUGCUUCCGUUUCGUCGGUCACCUCGGAUCAUGUGCCUAUUUGUAUUGACUUUGGCGCCACCCUUCCCACUGCCAAAUUCUUCCGAUUUGAGAACCAUUGGCUGCAUAUUCCGGAGCUCAAACAUCUUGUGUUGGCCUCUUGGCAUGCUGGCCAUCGUCAGAUUGAUUCUGCUGCGUCUAGGCUAAGCUUCAAGUUCAGGCGGCUUCGGGCAAGCAUCAGGCAGUGAGCUAAAAACAAAGGAAAUCUACAGCUCCUGAUUGAUAACAAGAAGUUGCUGAUCGAUUUUUUGAAUGCUGUUGAGGAACGGCGCAGGCUCACGGAUUUAGAGUUUGUACUCCGCUUGCAUGCAAAUACAAAACUUGAGAAGCUGCUAAAGUGGCGAGCGGAUUUUUGGCAGAGGCGGGCCAAGCUUAACUGGUGUAAGUUUGGAGACGAGAACUCGCAUUUUUUUCACCUUGCUGCUAAUUGGCAUGCCAGAAACAACCGCGUAAAGGUUCUGGUGCACAAUGGAGUUGAGCACUUCAGCAUUUCUGAGAAGCUGAAGAUUGCCACGGCAUUUUUCCAGGAUAUCUUCAGCUCUCGGCCGCAUGAUCCGCUCGCGGUUGACCUAACCACAGUUUACUCCCAAGUGGAUCUUCUUGAUCUCUCUGCCCUAGAGCAACCAUUCAGUUGGGACGAGAUCAUCCGCGCCAUCAAUCUAUCACCGAAUAACAGAAGCCCCGGGCCGGAUGGCUUCACUAAUGAGUUCUACAAACAGUUCGCCUCUACUCUCAAGGAUGACAUUAUUACGUUCUUUGAUGAUUUCUUCCAUGGACGAGCUGAUCUAUCUGGCAUCAACUGGGCUCAUAUUGCUUUACUCCCCAAGACGGAGUUACCCUUGGAAAUCACCAACUUGAGACCCAUUGCCUUAGUCCACAGUAUCAUCAAGUUGCUCACUAAAGUUCUUGCUCUGAGAUUGCAACACUUCAUUUCCCAGUUGAUUCACUGCAUGCAAUCUGGCUUCAUCAGGGGGAGAGCCAUCGUUGAAAACUUUGCGCUAGCUUCUGAGUUGGUACAAUGUGCGCAAAAGAGGAAGAUACCCAUGAUGAUACUCAAGUUGGAUUUCAAAAAGGCUUUUGAUAGUGUCAACUGGAACUGUCUCACGAACCUGAUGCAACACAGAGGUUUUGGCACUCGUUGGAUUUCUUGGGUCUCCUCCAUUCUCAAUUCUGGCAAGGCUAAGGUUAUGAUGAAUGGCUGCCUCGGAGAUGAUAUUUUCUUCAAUUGUGGAGUUCGCCAGGGUGACCCUCUCUCUCCGUAUCUCUUCAUUUUGGUUGCUGACAUCCUACAACGUAUGUGUGUUGCUGCCGCAAACGAGGGAAUUCUGGAGUGCCCUAUAGACGGACUGAGUUUUUUUCCUGUGCUGCAAUACGCGGACGACACGCUUAUUCUGCUCAAGGGCAUGGCUUCGCAAGCUACACACAUUAAGCACAUCCUACAGGCGUUCUCAAGCUUUACUGGAUUGCAGAUUAAUUAUCACAAGAGCACCUUCGUGCCUAUACAUAUGUGUGCAGAGGAGGCACUGGCAGCAGCUUCUGUUUUGGGAUGCCCGGUCAGCUCCUUGCCAUGCAACUAUCUUGGCUUACCGCUCUCUUUGAAGAAAGUCUCGAACUCAGUUUUGAUGCCGGUUAUCCAGAAGAUUGACAGGCGCUUGGCAGGCUGGCUGGCCACAUAUCUCUCCUGGGGAGGGCGACUCACCAUGAUCGAUGCUGUCCUCUCUUCCAUUCCAAAUUACUAUAUGGCCUGUAUAAAGUGGAACAAGAACAGCAUAGCAAAAAUAGACAAGCUCAGAAGAAAUUUCCUCUGGCAGAAGAAGGCGGAUAGGCAGCGUGCCGACUGCUUGGUUGCUUGGGAUCAAGUAAUUUCCAGCAAGCAAAGCGGUGGUUUGGGGAUCAGGGACUUAGAGGCUCACAAUGAUGCGAUGCUCUGCAAGUUCACCAGCAGGAUACUCCAAAGUUCAUCAGUCCCAUGCUACCAAUGGUUCCAGCAGAGAUAUUUGCGCAAAAGCUUGCCUGACAAACCUAAGGCCACUGACACACACCUAUGGAGAGCUCUAGCUAGAUACAUUUCGAUGGUGCAGCAUUCUUCUACCUGCAGAGUUGGUGAUGGGAAGCUCACGGCUUUCUGGCAGGAUAAAUGGUGUUGUGCAGGCCGACUCCACUAGCUCUUCCCCACGCUCUUCUCUUUUGCCAAGGAUAAACAAUGCUCGGUGGCCUCGCAAUACCUUGAUCAAUGGCAGCUGCAGCUUCACCCCAACCUCUCCCGAACUGCUGCGUUGGAACUUCAGACCUUGUGUGAGCUGCUUGCCUCCAUACCCACACCCUCUGCAGGACACUACGACUCUCGUAUGCAUAUCUAUACUGGUAAACCUGCACUGGCUAGCAACUACUAUGCAUUGCUUACAUUCCGAGGAGUCCAUUGGGCACCAGCAGAAACCAUCUGGAAUAAAGCUAUCCCAAUUCGAUGGAAAGUUUUCCUAUGGCUAGCUCACAGAGGGCGCCUGAACACCAGAACGACAAUGCUGCGUAAGCAAUGGAACAACAUUCAGCAUCCAUUCUGUGACCUAUGCCCGGCAGAGGAAACCGUUGAUCACAUCAUUUUGCGAUGUGCGCCGGCUCACUACUUAUGGCAGAAGCUUGGACUGCUCCAGCAGGCCUGUUCCGCUACUUCCCUCCAGGAUUUUGUGCUCACAAUGACGGAAGCUACCAGCCAUCGGGCGGUUUUGAUUGCUGCAUGUGCUGCGCAGCUGUGGCUGGUGCGCAACGUUCGUGUUUUCGACAAUAAAACCACACCAACAGAAGUUCUUGGGGCAGCUAUAGCUGAGAUGCUACGCCUUUGGUGCGCCCGCUCGAACGAUUCCUCCUUGAGGGCCUUCCUCCAAUGCAAAGCAGAGCUUCUUUCAAACGCUGCAUAAGCUACCUCCGAUGUAUCUCCUCCCUUCUCCCUCCCAAUGUAGCUAGCUAGUUGGCUUGGCUCCUUUGUAUCAUGACAACUCUCAGACCUUGGUCUGGUUUUGGAAUAUAUAAGGUAGACCGUGGUCUGCCUUCUUAUCCAAAAAAAUGAUUAUACGUAUCCCAGUAUGUGUUGAAUGAUGGCUCCGCAGGGACGCACCAUGCAUGCAAAGUUGGCAACACGGUCCAACGGUAUAUAUACUUCCUCCGUCCGGAAAUAUUUAUCGGAGAAAUGUCUAAAAAUAAAUGUAUCUAGAACUAAAAUACAUCUAGAUACAUCCAUUUUUCCGACCGGUAUUUUCGGACGGAGGGAGUAAUUUGUAAGCUUGAUCACACAUAUGAUAUGUGGUAUAUAUCGUCACUCACGUGUUGCUCGAGGCCUGAACAUGGUUGAGCGGGGGUUAAAGUGAGACAUGUGAUGAAAUGACAGAUCAGCAUAUUGCAAUUAUCGAAGCUGCAUUCACGAAAGUUUAAUCUUCCAUGGAGCCCCAGACAAGGCAUGAACACUGGCAGAGUACUGGUAGCACUUUGUAGUACUCUUUAGGCCUUGGCUUGGGGCCAAGUUUGGAGCUCUUCCAUUGGAGUUGCUUGAUGGAAGAAUUAUUGAGGAAGCAGUUGAAAACAGGUGCCCAUCUAACGGGAUUGCCUAACCACCCUGCCGCCAGCUCCAUCUCACCAUCCGUCCUCCCCUCUCCUCUGCUCUGCUCUCGAAACCACCCUUCUCCUUCCCCGGCCACUCCCUACACGCGCCCCCAUCCCAUCCCCCUGCUAUAUAAACCCGCCAUGGUCACCUCAUCUAUCCACCCACAACAAUAGACACGGGAAGCAGCUCUCCGGUCUUCGCUCACUAGCAACCGUAGUGCAGCAAAGCAAAGUAGUUUCCUCACAUCCAUCCAUCAAUGGCGACCUCCAUGGUCUGCCUGGUAGCGCUCUGCCUCGUGUCUCCGCUGCUCCUCGCCGGCGCCGUCCACGGCAACCCGGGCUACGGCGGCCUGUUCCCGCAGUUCUACGACCACUCGUGCCCCAAGGCAAAGGAGAUCGUGCACUCCAUGGUGGCGCAGGCCGUGGCCAGGGAGACCAGGAUGGCCGCCUCCCUCGUCAGGCUGCAUUUCCAUGACUGCUUCGUCAAGGUACCUCCAUACUCUGCUCCCUCUCUGCGGUACCACUGUUGUUUGCAACUUUGCAUGCAUGCUCUCACAAAGCUAGCUGCGAGGAUAUACUUGGUGAACAUACUCCAUGCAAAUGCGCUACAGCAAAUUAUGUUGCCUCGGAUUAUUUACUCUACGUUCACCACGAUAAUUAAGAUGUGCAUUUUAUGUGUUACUAGCACUCUUGCCUCUUUGAACACAUAACUCAACGUGCAAAAUGUUCUAUUUGAGCUCUAAAGCUUUUGCUAUAAUUGCACCUUGGUAUCAGGAAAAAGCAUCACUACAUAUGAACUCUAGGAGCAUGGAGGAAUCUCUAGUUUUCUAGGCUAACUGUUUAACCAGUGAUGUGAUGAGAUAGCCUACCUACAUUGCCCAUGUGAGCGCUGCUUUUGUGUUUGUCUGGGUGGCAUGAUCCAGUCAGUACCGUGAUUGAUUAACCCGAAUAACGCUGAUAUCCAUGCAACGUAUAGCACGUUAACUCGACGCAUGUGCCUCUGCCCUAUGUGCUAGUGUUUAGCUAUUUUUUCAUGUGUGCGCCUAAUUAACCACGCCACGUACGUAAUCUAAACAAACUUUUCUGGUAUCUUGGUGUGAUUGCAGGGGUGCGACGCGUCCGUGCUGCUUGACAACAGCACCAACAUCAUCAGCGAGAAGGGGUCCAACCCCAACAAGAACUCCCUCAGGGGCUUCGAGGUCGUCGACCAGAUUAAGGCCGCCCUCGAGGCCGCCUGCCCCGGCACUGUCUCCUGUGCCGACAUCCUCGCCCUCGCCGCCCGUGACUCCACUAUCCUCGUAUGUCACCGUUAAACACCACCAACAACACUUCUAUUCCUGGUUCUUAGAGGGUGUUUGUUUCCCGGGACUUAUUGGUCUAGAGACUUAAAAAAGUCCCUAUAAGUCUCAUCUAAACCAAACAGGAGGGACUUAUACGGACUUAAAGUGGGCAUUUGGGACUUAUGAAAUAAGACUCUCAAGGAGAGACUUAUAGGGACUUAUAGUUGUAAUAUGGUCUUAUAGAAACUUAUAAGUCCCAGGAACCAAACAGGUAGAAACUUUUUAAGGACUUGGAACUUAUUAGUUGAGACUAAAAAAAGUCGUAGAACUUAUGAACCAAACAGGGCCUUAAUUUGACACGGAAAUGAACCUGCAUGCAUGCAGGUUGGCGGGCCUUUCUGGGACGUGCCGCUCGGGCGGAGGGACUCUCUUGGCGCCAGCAUCCAGGGCUCCAACCAAGGCAUCCCGGCGCCCAACAACACCCUCCCCACCAUCAUCACCAAGUUCAAGCGCCUCGGCCUCAACGUCGUGGACGUCGUCGCGCUCUCAGGUGGCCACACCAUCGGCCUCUCCCGGUGCACCAGCUUCCGGCAGAGGCUGUACAACCAGUCGGGCAACGGCCUCGCCGACGGCACGCUGGACGUGUCCUUCGCCGCGCAGCUGAGGCAGGGCUGCCCCCGCUCCGGCGGCGACGACAACCUCUUCCCGCUCGACGCCGUCAGCUCCACCAAGUUCGACAACUUCUACUUCAAGAACAUCCUCGCCGGCAGGGGACUCCUGAGCUCCGACGAGGUGCUGCUCACCAAGAGCGCCGAGACGGCGGCGCUGGUGAAGGCGUACGCCAACGACGUGCACCUCUUCUUCCAGCACUUUGCGCAGUCCAUGGUGAACAUGGGCAACAUCACGCCGCUCACCGGGUCGCAGGGCGAGAUCAGGAAGAACUGCAGGAGACUCAACAACUUCCACUAAUUAAGUGGCUGGAAAUUAAAUGCUUAGCUGCUUGCUUUGUGUGUGCCUUGAUUCUCUCUCUCUCUCUCUCUCUCUCUCUCUCUCUUUGUAAUAAGCAAGUGUCGUUGUGUGCUUUGGAAUUCCAGAUUGUGCUUUGUGAUCGCGCUCCAACUUCAUAAUUGAUCAUGUAUACAUCUUGUCUGGAUAACAAUAAUCGAUCGGAUCUUAACUCGAGGUGCAUUCUUUUUACAUUGUUGUGUCAGGGAAUAUGUACCUACCGACUACGGCCGUGUACAGUUGGCCAUUCACGUUACCGUCGGAAAACCUAAUCAGUACUAGUAAUUUUGAUGGUGGUGGCAGUGAGCGAGCACCUCGCAUGGGUCAUGUGGAAUCUGGCUCACCGUCCACGUACGGCCGGAACGAGAAAAGCCAAGCAUAUGUGUCAUCAUGGUUAGUAGAACAACUACUGCGGCAGGCUAAUAAUUAGUUCGUUUGUUUGCUGGUUAGGUAGGUAACAUGCAUGUGGGUCGUAGUACGUGGAUGCGCAGCCCGGACGGCCGGCCGGUCUUCCUAGGUCAAGGUAGCAAUCAAACAAGCUAGUGCUCAGGCGCGCGUGUGGGUGGGUGAAUCAUGGCGUGCCGACCACACACACUGCAUCUGCAUUGCACAUACCCAUCCCGUAGCUUUCACAAGAAAGCCCCACCACUUCAUUCAUAUCGACUGAUCGGACCCACAUGAUAUAAGCUCGGAGAGGGAGGGAAAGUGGAACUACUACUACUCUUUUGCAACGCAGAAAACAUACAGAGCCACCAAAAAGAGCUCACUCCCGGUCUACCAUGCAUUUAACAAGCACUAGAUAGCCGAGAGCUUAUUGCAAGGGUGAGUAAUCAUGCCUUGUCAUGCAUCAAAAAAGGAGAGCAACCUAGCUAGCUAACCGGAAGAAAGCACACUUUGUUCGUCUCUACUACUAGAGGUCAAUGGCCUGCCCGCCCUUAUCUACCGUACAGCAAAAGCAGAAAGGGUAAAUAGUGAUGUGCGUGCGGAAAUGAACAUGUAAUCAUUUGUGUAACAGGCGUGUGCCGGGUCGACCCACCAACAUUCUCAUCAUUGCAUUGCACGCACCUCCGGGGCAAAAGGGAACUCACGAACUGGCUUCUACCUUUUCAACUCAACUGGACAUCACUGCUCACGCGAAGCAGCAUUAUUGAACAUAUUAUUAUGUAGGCAUACACGCAUGUAUAUGAUUAGGAUAAUCUCCUACCGGCCCCGCCUCUAAUUUCCUUGUAUGGAUGAGGCUGAGGGCUUCUCCUUGUACAUAUAUACGUGCGUUAGGCACCCGAUCAACAUCGAGAGUUGCAUUGCCUUCCAACAUGGUAUCAGUUUCCUUCCCGAUCCUUCCCUAGCUUCCGCCUAAGCCCUAACCACGCCGCCGCCGCAGCCGCAAUCCUCCCGCGUCGCCGCCGCAUCUUGCCCAGCCGCCGCGCGCGCCUCUCCCCUUCCCCUCUCCCCAUCCAAUCACCACCUCCCCUCUUCCCACCCGAUCGCCCCUGCCCCGAUCCCCCAUCCACCCGAGCUGCCACCAACGAACAGAAGCCGCCGUGCCCGACCCUCCCUCUCCAGCGAUGGCUUCUCCCCACUCCUCCGUCUCCAUCCCCUCCAAUCCCUUCGACGGUCCAGCUCCUCCUCCGAUGGAACUCAUCCACGAUCUUGACAUCUUCGCUCGUGUGCCCAUCAUCCUGGACUACGCCAACUCCACCUACUACGCCUGGAAAACCUAUUUCUGCCUUGUCUUCCGCGAGUACCACCUCAAUGAUCACGUUCAUGGCUCCAUCGACACCGACCUCAUGUUCGCGGAUGACGACUGGAUGACCAUCGACACCACCAUCACUCGUUGGUUGUACCAAACCAUCUCCAAAGACCUCUUUCACACCAUCGUGUGCAACGAGGACGACGCGCAAACGGUGUGGGCGAAGCUAAACGGGCUCUUCACCGACAACGCCCUCCAGUGCCACGUGUUUCUUCAGCAGGAAUGUUUUGGCUGCCAUCAACAUGACUCGUCCAUUGACGAUUAUUGUAUGCACCUUAAGAAACUUGUUCACGAGCUUCGCGAUCUUGGGGACAUGAUCUCCGACGAGCUCCUCCUUAGCACGCUCACCGCCGGCCUGAAUGAAGAGUUCAGCAACGCGGCCUCCAACCUCAUGUUCCUUCCGGACCCGACCUUUCCUAGGGUUGUGGCCUAUCUUUGCUUGGAGGAGAGGAGGAUGAAGAUGGUGAAGUCCCGGGCCACGCACACGGCGCUUGCCGUGGGCACUUCUCACGCAGCCCCUCCCACGGCCCCGCAGCCGCCGCGGUUCCCAACCCACCGGCGGCCUCCUACUUCCCAGCGCCUCAGCCGCCGGCCUACGGCAACCAGCAGCCGCCGCCCCUGGCAACGAUCAUCGCCGUGGUAAGAAGAAGAAGCAGCNNNNNNNNNNNNNNNNNNNNNNNNNNNNNNNNNNNNNNNNNNNNNNNNNNNNNNNNNNNNNNNNNNNNNNNNNNNNNNNNNNNNNNNNNNNNNNNNNNNNNNNNNNNNNNNNNNNNNNNNNNNNNNNNNNNNNNNNNNNNNNNNNNNNNNNNNNNNNNNNNNNNNNNNNNNNNNNNNNNNNNNNNNNNNNNNNNNNNNNNNNNNNNNNNNNNNNNNNNNNNNNNNNNNNNNNNNNNNNNNNNNNNNNNNNNNNNNNNNNNNNNNNNNNNGCCCUCGGCCCCUUGGGCGGCCGCGCCGAAUCCCUGGACAGGGGUGGUCCACGCGUACACGAUGCCCGUGCCGUGCGCCCCCGUCCCGGCUGGCAUCCUUGGCGCCCGUCCCGACGCCCCUCAGGCCAUGUACGCCACGCCGGGUGGCUAUCAGCCGCCGCCACCCCCGCUCGCGUACGCCGCGCCAGGAGGCUACCCAGGCGCCGCGCCCACCUACCCUACCGCACCCCCUACCGCGGCCGCUGCCCUUCCGACGGCUCCUUGGGACCCGGCCCUCCUCGCGGUGCUUCACUCCGCUCCUACACCCAACACCUACACCGGCGGCGGCGACUGGUAUAUGGAUACCGGGGCUACAUCUCACAUGACUUCCAACCCCGGUAAUCUCAACUCCGCAUAUCCAGUUCAUACCGCAUGUCGUAUCACCGUUGGGGAUGGAUCCUCCCUUCCCAUUACUCAUGUCGGUCAUGGUUUUUUUCCGUCUAACUCCAUGCCUAUACAUAUGUCUAAUGCCUUAGUUUCACCUUAGCUCAUUAAAAAUCUUGUUUCCGUUCGUUCCCUUACACAUGAAAAUCCUAUAACUGUUCAAUUUGACGAAGUCGGUUUUUCUGUCAAGGACGCCCGUACCCGGAUGGUACUCCACCGUUUUGACAGCUCGGUGAGCUCUACCCAGUCCACUCCACCGCCACCACCACCUCCACUCCAGUCGCCCUCUCCAUCGCCGUGGACCUUUGGCAUGCUCGGCUAGGACAUCCGAACUCCGCCACCCUUCGUCAUAUUCUUAGGACUUUCCCAUUCAUGUGUAAUAAAACCGAUGAUCAUACUUGUCAUGCUUGCCGCCUCGGCAUGCACGUUCGUCUUCCAUUUAGUGCUUCCUCAUCGGUGGUGGCGUAUCCAUUUGAGUUGAUUCAUAGUGAUUUAUGGACAUCUCCAGUUGCCAGUAAUACAGGUUUCUUAUAUUAUCUAGUUCUACUUGACGAUUUCUCGCAUUAUGUGCGGACCUUCCCGUUGUGGAGAAAAUCCGAUGCACUCUCCAUUCUCACUAUGUUUUACUCAUAUGUCGCUAUGCAGUUUGGGCGUCCCAUUCACACGUUGCAGACUGACAACGGGAAGGAGUUCGAUAACAUUGGGGUUCGCACCCUUCUUGCCACACAUGGCACGAUUCUUCGUCUUACCUGCCCGUAUACCUCUCAACAAAAUGGUCACGCCGAAUGGAUUCUCCGCACUCUAAAUGAUUGUGCGCGCACCCUUCUCUUCCAUGCUAACGUCCCGCCCCGGUUUUGGCCGGAUGCCCUAGCCAUCGCCUCUCUCCUUCUCAACAUUUUUCCGUGUCGCACUCGUGGGAACUUUGCACCACAUCAUCUUCUUUUCGGUACCGCCCCCUCCUAUGAUGAUCUUCGUGUUUUGGGGUGUCUAUGUUAUCCCAGCAUCGCCUCCACCACACCUCACAAACUCGCACCUCGCUCCGUGGCAUGCACCUUUCUCGGAUACCCACCAAACACCAAAGGAUGUCGUUGUUAUGAUCCGGUUUCCCACCGAGUUUUCACUUCACGGCAUGUUUACUUUGACAAGAGGGGUUUUCCUUUUCACCAGGUACCGCCCACGGACGAUUCGCCAUCACCACCCGCGCCCGCCGACGCUGCUCAUGCUGGCCGCCCCCGAGCGCUCGGCCCCCCCUCCCGGCUUCGAGCCCCCUGCUGCGCCCGGGUCCCCUCCUAGCUUCGGCGGCCCUGCUGCGCCCGGGUCCCCUCCCGGCUUCGGCGGCCCUGCCGCGCCCGGGUCUCCUCCCGGCUCCGGCGGGCCUGCCACGCCUGGGCCCUCGUCAGGGGCCCCCUCCUCGUCCCGUCCUGCGGGUCCCACCAGGUCCGUGGCGCCGGACCCGCCGCCUUCGCCUACCGCGCCAGGCUCCAUGGCGCCUCCGACUCCCAUUGAGUCUGCAGCCCCGUCAGUGAGCGCCCCUCAUGCGCCUGACCCCAGCUCCUCGACAGACUCGACGGUGAUCCCGACAAGCUCUUCUUCGGCCUCGCUCUCAGUUGAUCCUCCGUCGCCGCCUCCGCGGGCCUUGCCGACCCCGCCGGCCCAGCCAUCUCGCAUGGUCACCCGUGCUCACGCGGGCAUCCACCGCCCCAGCAUGCGUUACUCAGUGGACGAGUACCUCCUCGCUGCCUCGACGUCCACACCGUCACCUCUUCCAUCGUCAUCUCGAGCCGCGCUUCGCGACCCGCAUUGGCUCGCUGCGAUGCAGGAGGAGUUCGACGCGUUGAUGCGUAACCGCACCUGGCAGCUCGUCCCGCGACCCCCCCCCCAUGCCAAUGUCAUCACCGGCAAGUGGGUCUUCCGACAUAAAACCUGUCCCGACGGGUCCCUCGAGUGUUACAAAGCUCGUUGGGUGGUUCGCGGGUUUCGUCAGCGUGCUGGAGUCGACUUCACCGACACUUUUGCUCCGUUUGUCAAACCAGGCACGAUUCAUGUGGUCCUUCUGCUUGUGGUAUGUCGCGCAUGGUCGGUGCAUCAGAUGGAUGUGUCGGAUGCGUUCCUGCAUGGCCAUCUCUCGGAGCAGGUCUUUUGUCAGCAGCUCAUCCUGAUCGUGUGUGCUUGCUCUCCCGCUCCUUGUACGGGUUGAAGCAGGCACCUCGAGCCUGGUACCAGCGCAUCGCCACCUUCCUGCAGCAGCUUGGGUUUCGAGCUACUUGCUCCUCUACGUCGACGACAUCAUCCUGACGGCCUCCUCGACAGAGCUCCUCCGCCAGCUUACUGCUCGCCUCAGCGCCGAGUUCGCCAUUAUCCUCGGCUCCUUGCACUACUUCCUCGGGAUUGAGGUGGUGCGUCGUGCCGACGGGUUCUUUCUUCAUCAGCAGCAGUACGCACAAGACCUCCUUGAGCGGGCAGGCAUGCUUAACUGCAAGCCUGUCCCCACGCCUAUCGACACAAAGGCCAAGGUCUCUACGCUCGAGGGCUCGCCCGCGCCAGAUGCGGCGUUUUAUCGCUCCAUCGUCGGCGCCCUUCAGUACUUGCUCACUCGGCCGGACCUGCAGUAUGCUCUUCAGCAGGUGUGUCUCCACAUGCACGCUCCUCGCGACACUCACUGGAACCUGGUGAAGCGGAUUCUUCAGUACAUCCGCGGCACCACGGCUCUGGGUCUCACAUUGACGGCCUCGUCCUCGACCGACCUUGUUGCCCACAGUGACGCCGAUUGGGGGGCUGGCUGUCCGGACACACGACGCUCCACUUCCGGCUACUGUGUCUACCUGGGUCCUUCGCUCAUAUCGUGGUCGUCUAAAUGACAACUCACAGUAUCCCGCUCCAGCGCCGAGGCUGAGUAUCGUGUUGUGGCUAAUGUCGUCGCCAAGUGCUCGUGGAUCAUGCAGCUUCUCUAGGAGUUGCUCCUUGACGUUUCGACGACCACCACUGUCUACUGUGACAAUGUCUCAGCGGUCCACCUCUCCGCCAACCCCGUUCAUCAUCGUCGCACGAAGCACAUUGAGCUCGACAUUCACUUCGUGCGUGAGCGGGUGGCUCUUGGACGCGUCCGUGUUCUCCAUGUUCCCACAACUCAGUAGUUUGCCGAUGUCAUGACUAAGGGGUUACCGACGCCUACAUUCGAGGAAUUCCAGUCCAGUCUAUGUGUCACUAGCGAUCGUAUCGACUGCGGGGGGUGUUGAACAUAUUAUGCAGGCCUACACUCAUGUAUAUGGUUAGGAUAAUCUCCUACCGGCCCCAUCUCUAGUUUCCUUGUAUAGAUGAGGCUGGGGGCCUACUUAAAAUUUACUACAUACAAUGGUUUAAAUUAGAACAACUUUACAAAGGAAUUAACCUAAACUAAACACAUGGUACGUGAUUCUCCCUCCAACCAUCCGGGGUUUGUAAGGCUGGCGCGGAUAUUUAAGUCUUUAGCAACUAAAUAUGUGUAACAAGCCACCAAGAGUAGAUGUUUAGAAACUUUGUUCGACGACGAAUCCUCCGAUGACAUAUUUUCCACGUUUCACUGGUCAAACUGAAGACCCCGCUCUCACUUUACAAACCCGGAUAGAGGUAGUAUACUUGGGACCUAGACUCUCACUAGUAGAAAAGGGGGCAAUGGUCCAGGCCGGGCCAGCCCAUUAGUCCCGGUUCAAUCCAGAACCGGGACCAAUGGGGGCAUUGGACCCGGUUCGUGAGCCACAGGGGCCGGCUGGGCCACGUGGGCCAUUGGUCCCGGUUCGACUGGACCUAUUGGUCCCGGUUGGUGGGACGAACCGGGACCAAAGGCUGCCCUUUAGUCCCGGUUCUGGCCACGAACCGGGACCAAUUAGUUGCCUAUAUAUACCCCUCGCCCGCGAGCAGAGCACUCCCACUGCUCUGUUUUUCGUGGCCGGCGAGGGGAGAGCUUUGUGGUGCUCUACCUCACCUCCUAUGCACACGAGGUGUUCGAUGGAAUGCCCGAGCCACACUACUUAAGCUUUCUUCUCUCCAAGCUCGACCUCCAAGCUCCAUUUUCCUCAAUAUUUUUCUAGGUUUAGCGGUCCGUCACGUCCCGUCCCCGUCUUCACCGUCAUCGAUCGCCCGCGCCGAUCUCGUCGCCGGCACCACCGUGGUGAGCCUCUUGUUCUUAUCUUCUUUCUGAAAGAAAAAAAAUUCUUACUUGUAUGUUUAUAUAGAUACUUGUAUAAUUUUCUAACUUUUAUUAUUGCAUCUUAUAUAGUGCGAUGGUUUUGGUAUCCGCCCCCGUCGGCCCUCGUCCUGUCUAUAUUCGGAUGUGGUAUAUAUUAUCUUUUCAUAACUAUUGGUUCAUUUAUUGUUUAUGACAAUUAUGCCGACCAACGUGACAUAAAUUUUAUUUAUCUAGGAGGUUGUUGAACCGGAAAUUCCAACCGACCCUAUUGUCGAGAGGUUAAAUUUAGUUGAAGAAGAAAACAAUUUGUUGAAGGAAAAAAUUAGAAAAAUUGAGGAGGAGGAGAUGAUAUUGGAGUUGCAUGUUGCGGAUGUCGUCGAUGAUCACAAGAUCAAGAUGGAUGCAAUGCGCUUGAAGAUUAGAAAGAUUAGAAAAUAUGUCAUUCAUACCGAGGCUUGGUAUCAUUAUGCCAUUGGAUCAGUUGUUACAUUGGUUGCGAUUAUGAUCGCAUUUGUUUUCGCAUUGAAAUGUUUUACAUAGUUUCAGUGUAUGGUUUAAUUAAUUUAGAUGCUCUGCAGAGCUUUAUGUUGUUAGAUGAGAACUAUGUAUGUACUUUGGUUUUAAUGUGGUGAUGAACUUCUAUUAAUUUGGUCGCUUAAUUAUCUAUUCAUGAUGUUCUGUAAUGAUUUUUGACACACUUAAUUAUAUAUAAUGCACGUAGAUGAACCGGCAAUGGAUGUACGGUUCAAGACACACCUCCGAGUACAUUAAGGGCGUGCAUGAUUUUCUCGAAGUGGCUGAGGCAAACAAGCAGAAUGGUUUUAUGUGUUGUCCAUGCCCUAUAUGUGGGAAUACGAAGUCUUACUCUGACCGGAAAAUCCUCCACACCCACCUGCUUUACAAGGGUUUCAUGCCACACUAUAAUGUUUGGACGAGGCACGGAGAACUAGGGGUUAUGAUGGAAGACGGCGAAGAAGAAGAGUACGAUGACAACUAUGUGCCCCCUGAAUACGGUGAUGCUACUGAACAUCAAGAGGAACCAGACGAUGUGCACGAUGAUGCUGCAACGGGCGAAGCUGUUGAAGAUCAAGAGGAACCAGACGAUGUGCCACCUCUCAAACCAGACGGGCGAAGCUGCUGAAGAUCAAGAUCAAGAGGAACCAGCUGCGGGAGGCAAUACAGAUACGGUCCACCUCUCAAGCCUCUAGAGAAGUUACCGUACGAGAGGACCGAGGAGGAAAACGAUACGAUCGUGCGGACCCACGUAAAGGAGUUCUUUGAAGGGGUGAAAGCAAAGAGACAUCCACCUUCGGAGGAGAAGGUAGAUCCGGUGAAAGCAAAGCACACUCUCGAUGCCCUGAGGAAACCGGCAAAGUCUCCGCCGAGAACCAACUAUGAGCGCAUUACUGAAUAGACAUAUCUCCAAGCGGAGCGGUCGGGAAAUACUGUCAGACAUCAAAGAGCAAGAGAACGAGCAGCUACGAAAAAAAUUGACCAGCUCGGCGAACAAGCAAACCAAUCAUGCCCCCCGCUCAAUGUGUCUAGCGGCAAUUACAUCGCCGCUAAUGCUCUGGGGAUGGUGGCCGGUUAUGGCAAUCCACAAGAUUACCUGCCUGACGAUGCACUUCCUGAUUUCAUGAAGGUGGACGAACACAGAUACGAGUACGGGAAGCCUCUCGUCAAAGAUGAAAAAUCUCUAACAACGAUGAUGCGAAGAUUCCAUACUUGGUACAUGAAAACCUGCAGAGAGUCUGGGGGGGGGGCGAAUACUUUGUAUCUGAGAAUUAAAGAGGAGCACGACCUCGUUGGAAAUGAUCUGUUGCCUGUUCCAUUUGAGGAGUUCUUCGAGUUCUUCAAUCAAAAGGCCCUCGAUAAAUUAACGGUCUUUUGCUACUACCUGUAAGUACUAUUUUUGUCAUUAAGUCUCUAUAUAUAGCUCGACUCUUUCAUUGCAUGUAUUUAUAAUUAAUUAUCCUCAAUAUAUUAUGCAGAUUGAAGAUCGUCGAGUGCAAAAAAUAAGAAAUUUAUGAUAUUGGGUUCAUUAACACAAAUAUCAUAGAUGAAUUUCUGGUUGAAAAGGACGUCAAAGAGGCCGAGGACAACUUGCUACAAUCGUUGAUCAAAAAUCAAAACAAAGAUACCAUACUCUUUCCUUACAACGGCAAGUGAGUGUUACUGUCGUGUGCAUAUUCGGUUUUCCUUAUUACUCGAGCGAGGUUAUAGUAAUGUAAUUGAUGAGUUAUGCAUGCGUGCGCAGGUACCACUAUAUUCUUCUGCAGAUUAAGCUUGAGCGUGGACUAGUAACCGUCUUAGACUCGAGACAGAAAGCUCCCAAACCUAUGCGGACAUGACUGAAAUGCUCAGCAAGUAAGUUCAAUCGAUCAUUAUCGCACCAUAUCGGCAACUUUUUGUUCAUUUCCUGAUAUCUCAAGUAAUAAUAAUUAUUUUCUUUGUCUUGCAAGGUUUGGAAACAGUUCAUCGCAGAAGCUCCGAGACUGCCGAAGGAGCUGCGAUAUGCAUACCCGAAAGUAAGUACUAUUGGCUAGCUAGUUGCGCGCAUCUCCCGUUGAUUCUAUAGCUAUACUUUCAUCAAUGCCAUUUAUAAUGCUUCAUUAUCAGUUUGAUUGACCUCUAUUUCUCGUAAAGUGCUUGUGGCAGGAACAAGGGAAUGAUUUCUGUGGAUACUACGUGUGCGAGUUCAUCCACACCGCGACUUUGAAAAACAAGCGGGGCUAUUCUCAAAGACAAUAUGAAGUGCGUAAGCAAUAAUAUUCACAAUUUCAUUUUAUUACACCAUCAUUUCUGUUGAGUUUCAUUCAUAUAUAUGUAUUAAUUAACCCCCUUCUUCAAAUUAGACGUGGCAGAUGCGGAAUGAACUCCUAGAACCAGAUCGCAUGAAAGCAAUUCAAGAGGAAUUGGCGGGAUUCUUUCUUGACCACGUCAUCAAUAAAGCCGGAGAAUACCAAUGUGAAAGUUGAUUUCAAAUGCUAGGGGACUGUAAUUGAGAGAUCGUACAUAUUGUACAUGUAUGUAGCCAGUAGCGUCGGAUGUACAUGAUACGAAAACUUGUUGUUCAACCAAUCUCUCGAAGAAGGAGAGGUCGAUCGAUCAUUUCUCUCGGUAUGCAUGACGAACUUCUGUACUCAAUGGUUCCCUUCAUUUUCUUACUAGCUAGCGUGUCGAGGGCUAUAUGUAUAUAGUACGUAGCGUCGACCAAGCACGGACAUAAGAGAGAACACUUCUCUCUAUUAAUUAGCUAGUUAACACAAUAUAUGAAACNNNNNNNNNNNNNNNNNNNNNNNNNNNNNNNNNNNNNNNNNNNNNNNNNNNNNNNNNNNNNNNNNNNNNNNNNNNNNNNNNNNNNNNNNNNNNNNNNNNNNNNNNNNNNNNNNNNNNNNNNNNNNNNNNNNNNNNNNNNNNNNNNNNNNNNNNNNNNNNNNNNNNNNNNNNNNNNNNNNNNNNNNNNNNNNNNNNNNNNNNNNNNNNNNNNNNNNNNNNNNNNNNNNNNNNNNNNNNNNNNNNNNNNNNNNNNNNNNNNNUCAAAAAAAAAAACAAAAACCCCAACCACUGGAAUGUUGACGCGUGGAUGCCAUUUGGUCCCGGUUGGUGCCACCAACCGGGACCAAAGGCCCCCCUGCCAGGGCUCGGCACACCGGCCACGUGGAGGACCAUCUGUCCCGGUUCGUGUUUGAACCGGGACUAAAGGGGGAGGUAUUAGUAAUGACCCAUUAGUCCCGGUUCAUGAACCGGGACUAAAGGCCCUUACGAACCGGGACAAAUGCCCUCUUUUCUACUAGUGUCUGUGUCUCCAUCUCUAGAUUUAUACACUACUCAGGUAGUUUUUUGUACGAAGCAUGCAUGCAUCUAACUAAAGGGAAUGACUCAUUUGAAUAACGAUCGCCUCCAGGCCAGAUUAGAUAGGACCAACAGCUAGCAGAUGAGGAUUAAGAGCCUUGACCUAAAAAGUGAAAUGAAGAUCGAAAAGAAGACCAAACUAAAUACUACUAGCUACUCCUACUCCAGGUCCCAUAUAAUUGAUGUGCACCCAUCGAACUCAAAGUCAAGUGGCUAUGCAGAUUCCAUGUGCAGUAACUAGCUGCUGGCAGGGGCAGGUGAAAAUGCCGUACAGGCACAUCCAGAUGGAACCAGACGAAUCGGCGGUUGGUUAGAGUUAGUACGCUAGCAGCAUUGUACUAUUUUCUUCUUUAGCUGUGGCGCUCCACUAGCUCUAGCUCUAUUGGCUUACAAUAUCAUAACUAUUCACUGAUUUAUACGUACUUUGUCUUCUUGGGAAUCUGCGUUAUGUAUGGGCAAUUUGAUUAUUGUGAUCAGUGUACAGAUGCAUGGUGCAUGAUGUGGAGUAGAUAGAUAAGCAAGUGUGAUUGUUGCAUACUUAAUACGACAAUAUAUGUCCCUUGUACCUAGCCUUAUAGAGUUUUGCCAGAACUGGUGGAUUAGAUGAAUGUAUGCGGUGUUUAGUUGUUGUAUAAAAACGUGUGAGAUGAUUGAGCAAUGCAUAUGCAGACGUGGGCGAUUUUCUAUUUUACUGGUAUGAGUCACAUCCCUUUUCCGACUUUCUUUUUUCAGAUCACGAUGAAAAUAGUGCUUUUGAGGGUGCUCAUUUUAACAAGCCCUCUGAUUGAGCCAUAGAAAAACAGUAGACAAGGAGACCAUGCACCGCCAAAAAAAGGUAAAGACCGGUAGUGCAUCUUUUUUCUUUUCAUUUUGCCAAAACCAGUGGUGUAUACUUAAUGUGGUGUCCCCUGGUGUUGCUGGUAUGCCAAAUGCUCUAGCAGCUGGUAGUUUUCAUCAAACUGUAGAUGUCCACGGAUGCGUUUAUGACUCUUUGGUAUCCCAUAUGUCAGGUAGUAGGUAUAUAUGUGAUUGUGUUACCAGCUCUUGCCACGGUACAUUGGAUUCUGAUGUAUGAAAGCAGAGAGCAUGAAAAAUCACUAAAUUGUAUUCCUAUAAAAACUAGUGCAAGCUUGAUGAACUGUAAUGUGUUUAUAGAUUUAACUGGAGUCCCAAGAACAUAACAAGUUGUAUGAACUUCAAACACAUGUUUGAUAUGCAUGUACAAAAAGUACUCCGAGGGUGAUUAGCAAGCUCCAAGAUGUCCAGGAAGAUUCAAGGAAAUUCCAAAACGUUUCAUAAUUGUUUCAGCAAGCCUCGGCAUGCCGCAUGACAAGAGUAAAAGUAAGUAUGUCACACGUGUAUCCGAUUGCCAUGGAAAUCAAAUAUAAGAGAGGAGUAUAUUACUACAUAUAGUGAGAGUGGGAUAUAACCACAUUCGUAACGAAAGGGCCUAAUUUAUUGCCAAAUUGAAGUGUGACUAAGGUUUGUUCUAAGCUGCGGAAUAACCGCAUCGUUCUGUAUACUCGUAAUACACUAUGUAUAUAUUUCCUUUUUCUCCAAAUUUACAUUUUUUUUUGCUUUUAUCUUCCUUUUUACGCAAUGAAACUUCGCAUAGCAGAUACGCAGCCACGGUGUCAAAUAUUCACACAGCGCAUUGCUUAAAAUGCUGGUUUCAGAACCACAAAGCUCCUUAAUCGAGCCAACUACACUUCACAAAAAGAAAAAGGAAAGCAUGGAAAUAAAUUUUAACCAUGUCUUGGAAGCUAAGGGCCUUCUCUGAUAUUCAACAAAGCAGUGAUCAACUUGGCUACCAGUAUAAGCUACUGUUAUGAUAACGAUGAUCAGCAAGGCGUCUAUGCUAAUGUAUCUGAUUAAAUACUUGCCCUUUUUCAUAACACAGGUCAAAAGUCUUCUAUGCUUAACUGAGUAUGUUUAACAUCAAGAAAAGUAGAUUUCACCUACUAAAACUGUCAAGUAACAUCAUAGGGAAGCCAAAUACAAUAAUGAGAAAAAACAGAGUACUUUGAAAGAGCUUUCCUUAAUAAUGUUCUCUUUCUACAAAAGCUUGCUUAAGCAGACUGCGGUUGGUAAAAGGAAGAUCAGACAAUACCUUAAGGCACUCUCUAAUCAAUCAUCCGUUGCGAAGUCCUUUAUUCAGGGAACAAGUUGUAAGAAAUCAUUGGCCAAUUACAUUGGAAAAUCUGUGUUGGUUAACUUCUAAGAAACAUGUGGGACCUGUUCAAGAUUUGCCUUUUACUUCUACAGUAAGCAUGAUUGGCGUGGAGUUAAGAGUUGAUUGUAGGAGGAGAAUGGGGGGAAAGCGAAUAGGAAACAAUUAUGACUCAGGAUCCUCCUAACAGCAGAAAGUCAAAUGAGCAGGCACUCUUAUGUCGCUUUAGUUUCAUCCCGGGGCUUUUAGCAGUAGGGAUACAUGCCAAGGGGAGGAGUCCCAUGUUCAACAUCGACACAAUGUAAAAUGCUGCUAGAUAUGAACUUGAAAACUCCUAGCUCAUAUGAAUUUUCUUUAUGCUCAUUCUGUCUGUGUUAGUUUAGCUAGGAUAUUAAUUUGCAAAAAAAAAAGAAUAUAUGACAGUGCUAGGUCACAAAUUGGUCUCCACAUUUGUGUACUUUUCUUUCUAAACCAGAAAACGGUUACCAUGCACACACGUAGCAUAAGCAUACCUGCAAGUCAUAUGCAAAGUCCCUGAAACUCUGACUCUCUGGCAGUAACAACCACGCUGUUGUUUUCUUCAAGAAACGGCCACUGCUAUGUGCUGUGAAGAGAAACAAGGCUGCUGGGCCCAGUGACAAAACUUAGGAACAGUUGAAAGUACUUCCAGGAACCUGCUCCCGGCAUCAAUCAAUGUAGGCCAUGCAAGUACCUAACCCAGAUUCAUCACGCAUCCUGUGCCUCCAAAGUUGGUACAAUAUCGCACAUCUCCUUUGACCUGAUCGGCAUCCAUGCACGUGUGUUAGCUAGGGAAAUAAGCCCCAGGCUGUACAGAAGGCAACAUGUCACACACGUUCUCUGGCCUUGGCCAUUGGAUGAACCAUCGAAAAGUUUCAGUGAGGUGGGAAAAGUCACCUAAUUCAGCAUGAUUCUACGAUAAGACACAGCAAUAAUGUCCUAAUGAUCUUAGACAUUACCCUUCAUCUAGAAAACCUGUAUUUCUUUUAAGGCACCACGCUGCUGUAGCGGCAUACUUUUAUCCCCAAAGGCGUGGGAUACGAAUCCCUGUUCCCAUGAUGACCAAUAUAAAACCCCUCCCUGCAUACAGUGUUAGCGCUGAUCAAUACCUUCUUACCUGUAACGAUACUUAUGUAUAACAAAAGUACCAGUAUUAAUUAGGAAGCAAACCUCUCGCUUUUGGUUACGCCAUUUUGUGUACUUUAGCAGCUUGGUUUCACAUAUGAUAUACGAUGUAUUGCCAUGUGUAUAGAGAGGCUCCUAGAGACUAGUGGUUUGUUAGGGGUGGGCCCACCGUGAUACAAAAGGUUAAAUUAAGGGAGACAUCGGACCGAUGACUGAUCUAUUGUAAGAUUGUACAUGCCUUGGUAAGGUAAUUCAAAUCAGUCAUUGUGACAUUCCGAUUCAAUCACUGUAACAUUCCAACUCGCGAAGGGUGAAACUAAAAAAAAGGCAGCCUGGUGCACAUAGCUCCCGUUUGCGCAGGGUCCGGGGAAGGGUCCGAUCACUUUGGGUCUUUUGUACGCAGCCUUUCCCUACAUUUCUGCAAGAGGUUGUUUUCAGGACUCGAACCCGUGACCUCAUGGUCACAAGGCAACAGCUUUACUGCUGCUCCAAGGCAUGGUCACGAAGGGUGAAAUUACAUUAUUAGUUCACAAAGCUAUUGUGUAUGGAUAUGUUUGUCUAAGACAUUCUGUACUCGCACCUUUGUAGAAUUUUCAUAGGAAUGGUUGUUCUUCAAGUGGUGAUGGCACUAACGAUGUUUCAUCAGUGUUACAGUGUGCAUUUGUAUUUAACUUAUCGAUAAAAUAUUUACUGAGUUUAAACUUUUCUAAGAAUCUCCAUGUACACUUGUCUACCAAAUCACCAAAGCUUAAAGUUUGAGUAACUAAAACACUAGAAAUGAAGACCGAAACAAGACAUAGGACAUAGCACGCUUUGGAAGAAAAUUAGAUGAUUUGAACCUUUGGAGUUACUUGAUAGAAGAGUUAUUGUUGAAGCAGUUGAACACAAUGCCGGGUAGCUCCCUUAUUUUAUAUGCAUCGUCUAACAACCCAGCUGCCCUGCAGCAUCUCACCGUUCUCUCCCAGAAACCACCCUUCUUUCUCUUCCCUACAUGCACCCCAUCCUCCUACUAUAUAAACCACCCCAUUCUGCACCUCAUAACCCACAAGAAGAGAAGUAGAAACAAACAAAUAACAAGUCUCUUCUAUUACUUGUACAAAGUGCAGCUAAGGACACUUACAUGGCGACUUCCAUGAGUUGCCUGUUGGUGCUAUGCCUUGUCUGUCCCCUCCUUGCUGGUGUCGUACGUGCCAACCCAUGGUACGGCUUGUUCCCACAGUUCUACGACCACUCUUGCCCGAAG